rnacentral:rRNA from 1 species
GCCUGAGAAACGGCUACCACAUCCAAGGAAGGCAGCAGGCACGCAAAUUACCCACUCCCGGCACGGGGAGGUAGUGACAAAAAAUAACGAUGCGGGACUCUUUUGAGGCCCCGUAAUCGGAAUGAGUACACUUUAAAUCCUUUAACGAAAAUCAAUUAGAGGGCAAGUCUGGUGCCAGCAGCCGCGGUAAUUCCAGCUCUAAUAGCGUAUAUUAAAGUUGUUGCGGUUAAAAAGCUCGUAGUUGGUUCUGCGUGCCACGCUGUCGGUUCGCCGCCUGACGGUGUAACUGGCAUGUCGUGGCAUGUCCUGUCGGUGGCGAACUAGGGCCACACUCGUUUUCCCCACUUGGGCUUGUCUCGGGUGUGCGGAGCGGUGUGGUCACUCAGUUCGCCGGCUCUAUCCUGCCGCGGUGCUUUUAACCAAGUGUCGAGGUAGGCCGACACGUUUACUUUGAACAAAUUAGAGUGCUCAAAGCAGGCUUAAAUCUCUGCCUGAAUAGUGGUGCAUGGAAUAAUGGAACAGGACCUUGGUUCUAUUCUGUUGGUCUCCGGAACACAAGGUAAUGAUCAAUGUGGACAGGCGGGGGCAUUCGUAUUGCGACGUUAGAGGUGAAAUUCUUGGAUCGUCGCAAGACGCACUAGA